rnacentral:rRNA from 1 species
AAUAGAUACCCUGGUAGUCCACGCCCUAAACGAUGUCGACUAGGUGUUGGGGAAGGAGACUUCCUUAGUACCGCAGCUAACGCGUGAAGUCGACCGCCUGGGGAGUACGGUCGCAAGAUUAAAACUCAAAGGAAUUGACGGGGACCCGCACAAGCGGUGGAUGAUGUGGAUUAACUCGAUGCAACGCGAAAAACCUUACCUACCCUUGACAUGUACGGAAGUCCGCUGAGAGGUGGAUGUGCCCGAAAGGGAGCCGUAACACAGGUGCUGCAUGGCUGUCGUCAGCUCGUGUCGUGAGAUGUUGGGUUAAGUCCCGCAACGAGCGCAACCCUUGCCAUUAGUUGCCACAUUCAGUUGGGCACUCUAAUGGGACUGCCGGUGACAAACCGGAGGAAGGUGGGGAUGACGUCAAGUCCUCAUGGCCCUUAUGGGUAAGGCCUCACACGUCAUACAAUGGCGCGUACAGAGGGGUUUGCCAAACCCGGCGAGGGGGGGUAAGCCAAAUCCCAGAAAAGCGCGUCGUAGUCCGGAUUGGAGUCUGCAACUCGACUCC